GCCUGUUGAGCUGUGGGUCGGUCCUGGUGCUGCUCUCUUCCAUCUACUCUUCCCACCCUGACAGCUCUCUCAGAAGGCUGAGGAAUGUUCAAUUCAGACAAUAUUCAAUCCUGCUGAGUCUAUUGAGAUUCUACUGAGUUUCCAAAUAGAGUCAUUCCGACUUCAGGACUUCAGAACUCUGAGUACAAGGUUUCCAAAUGUUGCUGAGCAGAACUAAUAAUGAGAUCAGCAAAUAUAUACAUCAAUGGAACCUCCACCAGGUUCCAGAUGCUACCAUGAUGCCAACCAGACUUCCCUGGGCAGAGAACCCCACCAAUGUGUCCUGGAGCCCUGCUUCCCCAGAUCCCUGCCCCACUAGGGAAAGAGAGACAGCCUGGGAGUAUGGAUUGACCUGCCAAUGCCCAUGUUCAGGGGGGAAGCAAUUACAGAAGCCAGACCUUCCACCUUCUGUACCCCAUAAUGACCCUGGGUCCAUACUCCCAGAGGGAUAAAGAAUAGGGAAGCUAUCAGGGGAGGGGAGGGGAUACGAAGUUCUGGUGGUGGGAAUUGUGUGGAGUUGUAUCCCUCUUAUCCUAUGUUUUAUGUCAGUGUUUCCUUUUUAUAAAUAAAAACUAAAAAAUAAAAUAAAAUAAAAUAAAAUAAAAAAGCAAAAAAAAAAUCUUGUCCAGUUCUGACUUUUUGUGAUGAGUUUUUGCUCUAAUAUUAUAAUAGAGUUCUUGGAUUUAUAAAUAGUAUUAUUUUCUUUCUUU